rnacentral:rRNA from 1 species
GACGAACGCUGGCGGCGUGCCUAAUACAUGCAAGUAGAACGCUGAAGAGAGGAGCUUGCUCUUCUUGGCUGAGUUGCGAACGGGUGAGUAACGCGUAGGUAACCUGCCUGGUAGCGGGGGAUAACUAUUGGAAACGAUAGCUAAUACCGCAUAAAAUGGAUUAUCGCAUGAUAAUCCAUUGAAAGGUGCAAAUGCAUCACUACCAGAUGGACCUGCGUUGUAUUAGCUAGUUGGUGGGGUAACGGCUCACCAAGGCGACGAUACAUAGCCGACCUGAGAGGGUGAUCGGCCACACUGGGACUGAGACACGGCCCAGACGCCUACGGGAGGCAGCAGUAGGGAAUCUUCGGCAAUGGACGGAAGUCUGACCGAGCAACGCCGCGGGAGUGAAGAAGGGUGUCGGAUCGUAAAGCUCUGUUGUAAGAGAAGAACGAGUGUGAGAGUGGAAAGUUCACACUGUGACGGUAUCUUACCAGAAAGGGACGGCUAACUACGUG